rnacentral:rRNA from 1 species
UACGUAGGCAGCGAGCGUUUGUUCGGAAUUACUGGGCGUAAAGAGUGUGUAGGCGGUGUUCCCAGUCUGUUGUGAAAUCUCCCGGCUUAACUGGGAGGGUGCAGCGGAAACUAGAAUGCUAGAGGGUGGGAGAGGUAAGCGGAAUUCCUGGUGUAGCGGUGAAAUGCGCAGAUAUCAGGAGGAACACCGGUGGCGAAGGCGGGUCUCUGGGCCGAUACUGACGCUGAGGAGCGAAAGCGUGGGGAGCGAACAGG